AAAUUGAAGAGUUUGAUCAUGGCUCAGAUUGAACGCUGGCGGCAGGCCUAACACAUGCAAGUCGAACGGUAACAGGAAGCAGCUUGCUGCUUUGCUGACGAGUGGCGGACGGGUGAGUAAUGUCUGGGAAACUGCCCGAUGGAGGGGGAUAACUACUGGAAACGGUAGCUAAUACCGCAUAACGUCGCAAGACCAAAGAGGGGGACCUUAGGGCCUCUUGCCAUCGGAUGUACCCAGAUGGGAUUAGCUAGUAGGUGGGGUAA
rnacentral:rRNA from 1 species